GACGAACACUGGCGGCGUGCUUAACACAUGCAAGUCGAACGGUAAGGCCCUUGGGGGUACACGAGUGGCGAACGGGUGAGUAACACGUGGGUGAUCUGCCCUGCACUUCGGGAUAAGCCUGGGAAACUGGGUCUAAUACCGGAUAGGACCCUGGGAUGCAUGUCCUGGGGUGGAAAGCUUUUGCGGUGUGGGAUGGGCCCGCGGCCUAUCAGCUUGUUGGUGGGGUGAUGGCCUACCAAGGCGACGCCGGGUAGCCGGCCUGAGGGGGGGACCGGCCACACUGGGAUUGGGCUACGGCCCAGGCUCGUACGGGAGGCAGCAGUGGGGAAUAUUGCACAAUGGGCGCAAGCCUGAUGCAGCUACGCCGCGUGAGGGAUGACGGCCUUCGUGUUGUAAACCUCUUUCAGCACCGACGAGGCGCAAGUGACGGUAGGUGCAGAAGAAGGACCGGCCAACUACGUGCCAGCAGCCGCCGUAA
rnacentral:rRNA from 1 species